rnacentral:rRNA from 1 species
AACGAACGCUAGCGGGAUGCCUCAAACAUGCAAGUCGAACGCGAAAGUUCCUUCGGGAGCGAGUAGAGUGGCGCACGGGUGCGUAACACGUAGCUAAUGUACCUCUUCGCUGGGGACAACUCCGGGAAACCGGAGCUAAUACCGAAUGAUCUGAUAGAGUCUGCGGGCUUUAUCGGUAAAGCCUUCGGGCGCGAAGAGAUCAGGCUGCGUCUCAUUAGUUUGAUGGUGGGGUAACGGCCUACCAUGGCGACGAUGAGUAGCUGGUCUGAGAGGAUGAUCAGCCACACUGGAACUGAAACACGGUCCAGACUCCCACGGGAGGCAGCAGUUGGGAAUAUUGGACAAUGGGAGAAAUCCUGAUCCAGCAAUCCCGCGUGAGUGAUGAAGGCUUUCGAGUCGUAAAGCUCUUUCAGCAGGGAAGAAUAACUGACGGUACCUGCAGAAGAAGCACCGGCUAACUCCG